GAACUGCAUUCAACAAGGAUUGCACAUCUAUAUCUGUGGGAGACAUUAAGUAUAGAAGGUGUGGAAAAAAGAUUACUCAGGUAGAUCUGCUGAUACCACUGCUCUGCUAGCUUAUGGAUGACAGUAUGUAUUUCAACAUCUUUUGGGAGAAGGAAGGGGAAGAGCUCUGAAGGUAGCUUGCUGCAUAUGCAAUAAUAUAUGCAACUCAUGACCCUGGCCAAGUCAAAAUUGAAAUGUCAGUGAAACAAAAAAAUCUAUGUUUCAACACUGAUGAUGAGAAUCUCCUUUCUCCAGUUGAAAUAGAAUGGACUGGAUGACUGGAUUCUACUAAUUCUGUAAUAUUACAUCUGAAACUCUUCUGCAUCCUGAAGGUUAAUCAGUCUUAUUUGAAAAUUCCAUUACCUUCUGUGAAAAUUUUCCUUUCAUUAUGAAACCAAAUGAAACAAAGUGAUGCAGACUGAGGUUUUAUUCACUCAAACUGGAAUGAGAAGAGAAAAAACAGAGGUGAACUGAACUGCAAGAAAAUUCACAGUGGACAUAUGCAUAAAACUUGCAUAGAAAUAAAGGAAACAAGGCCUUGAAAAAGAUUUAAGACAAAUCUUGUCAAACUGGACUGAUCUUUAUAAUAAAUACACUCAGCCUUGUGAUCUAAUAA